CCCCGUUUGCCUCUUUCUUCUUUCUCCUUUCUCCUUCAUUUCACCCUAAAUCACUUCACUCUCAGAACGUUCCCUCACGUCUUCGUUCGCUCUCCGUUUCUCCUUUCUCCUCUUCGUUUCCCCUCUUUCGUUUCACCUCUUUCUCCUUUCUCCUUCAUUCGCCUCCAUUUGCGCCUCCAUUUGCACCUCAGUCCAUGAUUGCCGCCGUUCACAUUUGCUCGAUUGGGUUAUUCAACCUCGUUCUGAAGGAGAAAGGUUCGAUUGCUCGCAUUUGCGCCUCAGUCCACUCCUUUUCUGUUUCUGGGUUUUCUGUUUGAUUCCUUCGCGCGAAUGUGAAUUUGAGUGUGAAUGUGAAUGGGGAAUCAGAAGCAGAAGUGGACGCAAGACGAAGAAGACGCACUCAUCGCCGGAGUAGAAAAGCAUGGUCCCGGAAAGUGGAAGAACAUUCUCAAAGAUCCCCAAUUUGCCCCUUUUCUCACUUCUCAUUCCAACAUCGACCUCAAGAUGGGGAUGCCCUCAAGGCAAAUUCCCAUGGUCAUAUGAAGAAAAAGAGACUUACUAUCUUGUGGAAGGAAAAGUGAAGGUGUGGGUUAAAUGAAUCAGUUCAAAUUUCUGCUGGUGACUUUGUUGUGUUUCCCAAAGGGAUGAGUUGCACUUGAGAUGUGCCUGUUGGUGUGGACAAGCACUAUAAAUUUGAAUAAAUCCUACAAAAGAUCUAAUCCAAGUGUUUUCUGAGUUACUAAGGCAUAUCAAUUUCAUACAACAUAGCGGUCAAUUGGGUUUGAAACUGCACCAGAUAUCGAAAGUGGUGUGUCAUCUCCGCAUGAAAUACUAGGAUCAAGUGGUGGAAGCAAAACACCUUAGACUUAGGACUUUUAAUGUUGUCUUUUUUUUCUUAGAUGCUUGAAUAUUUUGGUACUCUUAAUGUUGUCUUUUUUUUUUCCAAAUGCUUGAAUUGGCACUUUGAUGUAGUUAUGUUAUAUUGACAAUGAAUCAAUUUAGUUUAUCAAUUUCUA